rnacentral:rRNA from 1 species
AACGAACGCUGGCGGCAUGCCUAACACAUGCAAGUCGAACGAGACCUUCGGGUCUAGUGGCGCACGGGUGCGUAACGCGUGGGAACCUGCCCUUAGGUUCGGAAUAACUCCCCGAAAGGGGUGCUAAUACCGGAUAAUGUCUUCGGACCAAAGAUUUAUCGCCUUUGGAUGGGCCCGCGUUGGAUUAGCUAGUUGGUAGGGUAAAAGCCUACCAAGGCGACGAUCCAUAGCUGGUCUGAGAGGAUGAUCAGCCACACUGGGACUGAGACACGGCCCAGACUCCUACGGGAGGCAGCAGUGGGGAAUAUUGGACAAUGGGCGAAAGCCAGAUCCAGCAAUGCCGCGUGAGUGAUGAAGGCCUUAGGGUUGUAAAGCUCUUUUACCCGGGAUGAUAAUGGCAGUACCGGGAGAAUAAGCUCCGGCUAACUCCGUG